rnacentral:rRNA from 1 species
UACGAGGGGAGCUAGCGUUAUUCGGAAUUACUGGGCGUAAAGCGCACGUAGGCGGCUUUGUAAGUAAGAGGUGAAAGCCCAGAGCUCAACUCUGGAAUUGCCUUUUAGACUGCAUCGCUUGAAUCCAGGAGAGGUGAGUGGAGUUCCGAGUGUAGAGGUGAAAUUCGUAGAUAUUCGGAAGAACACCAGUGGCGAAGGCGGCUCACUGGUCCGGUACUGACGCUGAGGUGCGAAAGCGUGGGGAGCAAACAGG